rnacentral:rRNA from 1 species
AACGCGGGCGGCGUGCCUAACACAUGCAAGUCGAGCGAGGAGUACCAGAGUAUCGGGCUCCUAGCGGCAGACGGGUGAGUAACACGUAAACAAUCUGCCCUCGAAUGGAAGACAACUUGACGAAAGUCGAGCUAAUACUCCAUACAAUCCUCUCAAGGCAUCUUGAGGGGAUGAAAGGCCCGCAAGGGUUGUUCGAGGAGGAGUUUGCGGCCUAUCAGCUAGUUGGCGGUGUAAUAGACCACCAAGGCUAUGACGGGUAGCCGAUCUAAAAGGAUGACCGGCCACAAGGGCACUGAGACACGGGCCCUACUCCUACGGGAGGCAGCAGUGGGGAAUUUUGGACAAUGGACGAAAGUCUGAUCCAGCGACGCCGCGUGAAGGACGAAGGUUUUCGGAUCGUAAACUUCUUUUGCAGGGGACGAAAGCGCGCAAGCGUUUGACGGUACUCUGCGAAUAAGCCACGGCUAACUACGUGCCAGCAGCCGCGGUAAUACGUAGGUGGCGAGCGUUACUCGGAAUUACUAGGCGUAAAGCGAGUGUAGGCGGGAGCUUAAGUCGACUGUUAAAUCUCAUGGCUCAACCAUGAAAUGCCGGUUGAUACUGGGCUUCUUGAAUUCGGUAGAGGAAACUGGAAUUCCAGGUGUAGCGGUGAAAUGCGUAGAUAUCUGGAAGAACGCCAAAGGCGAAGGCAGGUUUCUGGGCCGCAAUUGACGCUGAGACUCGAAAGCUAGGGGAGCAAACAGGAUUAGAUACCCUGGUAGUCCUAGCCGUAAACGAUGUAGACCAGGUGUGGGAGGUAUCGACCCCUUCCGUGCCGACGCUAACGCAUUAAGUCUACCGCCUGGGGAGUACG